AUGCUCACUUUGGUGGCACUCGUGCUAAAAUUGGAACAAUACAGAGACCAUUAACAUGGCCUCUGUGCAAGGAUAACAUGAGAACUCUUGAGGCAGCCUAUAUGUUU
ensembl:snRNA U6 U6 spliceosomal RNA